GGCGCCGGCCACCGAGCUCACUCGCUCCUCAGCUUCAGGCAUGUUCACUUCCUCCGUCCUCGCAGCGCUCCUUGUGGCUUCGGCCUCGGUCCAGGCCGCCUCGCCCUUUUCGAGCGGCAUGGAGUUGUGCGGCCACCAGCCGUGCCUGCCGCCGGACCGGUGCCAGGACGUGGAUGGGGUCAGUGUGUGUAUCGCCGGGCUGCCCUGCUACCCGAAACCCUACUGCAUCACAACCAGUCAGCAGUGUUGCCAGGACGAGUGAUGCCAAUACCUCCAGAAAAUGCUGUAAAAACCUCUAGAAACCUGCGUUGGAACUGACUCGUGGCGGCGCGGCCCCAAGCCAGACCCUCCCGUUCUGCUGCCGCCGGGUUCAAAUACACCAUUUGUCUGGAUCGUUUGUAAUUGCCGGGAAGAAGGUUGGCCGCUGGGCGCCGAUAGUAGCGUGGAAAUGAUAAGCUACUACAGAUAUGACGCU